GGCUGGGACAGGGAAAAAAUUUCGGCAUGUUAUUAUCAAAUCUGUUCAAUUUUUCUGAAAUCGUGCUUAAUUAACAUUAGUUGUUCGGCGCUACGAUGUUGUUCAAAUACGUACAUUACAGAAUCACAUUAUGAUUAAACCAGAAACGGCUCGACUUGAACCAGCAGGUAAGAAUCUGUUUUGAAAUUAUAUCUUGGGAGGUUGGAUUGGAUUGGCGGCCAUUUUGAUUCUUGUUUCAUGAUUUUUUAUAUUAUAAAGAUUUUGCCAAGAGUAGACAUAAACGCGGGCACAGACUAGAAAAAAUCUUUUUACACUUUUGUGUUAGUUGAAUUGUAAUCUAAUUUAUGUUUAAAAAAACAACCUUAAAUCAAAUAAGCAGAUAUUUUCCCCAAACCCUCCGUUCAACCUCUGACUCUGUCACUCUGUGGAAUAUUAUUAGGCCCCUAUUUUCCUGAUUCAGUCACAGUUAAUAAAUAAUAAAUAAUGGAACUAGAAUCAGUCUGUGGAAGUUUCUCUAUAGUUUCAUUAUUUUUUCCAGUCAGUGAUGAUAUGACUCAUUCCACCUUACAGUUACAGCAAUUACCGUAUUGAGAAUUUACCGUUCAAGGACUCCAUUUUGGCAUUGAAUUGGAAUUUGAAGAAAAACUGUUUCAAUAUUGGAUGUAUAUGCAAAUCACCCAGGAAAAGAUCAUGUAACAAAAGAAAUUAUAAAAGUAAAAAAAUGGAAGAAGAAAUGGCUGGAAAAAAUGAUGAUAGAGCAGCUUUUUCUUGUUAGCCACCUCGGAAGAUCAAGACAGCUGGAAAGGGCUAUUGAUAUUGUGGAAGUGUUUUCUUACAGAGGUUGCUUAUCAGACAAAGGCUAUUUAACUACAUCAGAAAGAUAAAAACAGUUGGAAAUGGCUAUUCAUAUUGUGGAAACUUUUCUCACAGAGCUUGAUAAUCAGGCAAAAUGCUGGAACACCCUUGAAAGAGUAUUUGAUGUAUGAUAACAACAAGAGAACCCAAGCAUCAAUUUAUUUUAUACUUCUGGGAAAGAAUGCAUUUGACCCAAUUUUUAAAUAUUUAUUUUUUGUUAUUAAUGUUAAAUUUUCUUCCAAAACACAAUUAGAUUUUAAUUCUCUUCAAAUAUGUAUGUAUAAUAUAGCAAGUAAACUGACAUAUAAAUCACUUAGAAUUUGGUCGGAAAUCAUAAAGUAUUUAAUAGGCAUUACUAGAAACCAAAUGUAGAUCAAAUACACCCAGAAUUACAAAAAACCUUGACCUACAUUAAGGUGACUUUCCCUUGCUUAUGAAAUGAAAUACGUUUUAAUAUCCUGCUUUUCUGUGUUCUUAGAGUGAUUCUACCCUACCCUUAUAUCAAAUAUUUCAACUGUCAAGGGUUCUUUAAAGGGUACCCAGGGGGGCCGAAUGGUUAACACGCACACAUUUGAUCAGAAGGUCUGUCAUUGAUUCAAAUAAUUCAAUUUUCAAGGGUUCUUCAAAGUGUACGCAGUUGGGUUGGUUUCGAUUCUGGGGGGUGGGGGUGGAUGGCCGAAUGGUUAGCACGUGCAUGCUGUAUCAUACGGCCUCCUGUCAUUGAGUCAACUGGCAUGGUUUCGAAUCCCCGGUUGUAGACAAGGAGUAGGGUCGCCUGUCCAAUCU